UCAUCUGCUUUUGUUUUGAAGUGACAUGUCAGGGUAGGGCCAGAGAAAAGUCAUACUAGCUACCUACCUACUACCUAGAACCUACCUACCUGACCGUUAGAAUUCUUAUUGUGUGAGAAGCCUUUGGAUCAUUAUGGCAAUCAGUCUGCCAGAGACGAGGAAGGUCAUGGCUGUGUAUAUCCCCCCGCCUGUUCCAGAA